AAUGAACGCUGGCGGCAGGCCUAACACAUGCAAGUCGAGCGGACGAAGGGAGCUUGCUCCUGGAUUCAGCGGGGGACGGGCGAGUAAUGCAUAGGAAUCUGCCUGGUAGUGGGGGAUAACGUCCGGAAACGGGCGCUAAUACCGCAUACGUCCUGAUGGAGAAAGUGGGGGAUCUUCGGACCUCACGCUAUCAGAUGAGCCUAGGUCGGAUUAGCUAGUUGGUGGGGUAAAGGCCUACCAAGGCGACGAUCCGUAACUGGUCUGAGAGGAUGAUCAGUCACACUGGAACUGAGACACGGUCCAGACUCCUACGGGAGGCAGCAGUGGGGAAUAUUGGACAAUGGGCGAAAGCCUGAUCCAGCCAUGCCGCGUGUGUGAAGAAGGUCUUCGGAUUGUAAAGCACUUUUAGUUGGGAGGAACAGCAGUAAGUUAAUACCUUGCUGUUUUGACGGUACCAACAGAAUAAGCACCGGCUAACUACGUG
rnacentral:rRNA from 1 species